AGGGCCUCAAUGGAUUGGAAGAUGCCCACCCACAUUGAAUCAGAGAUGAGUUACUUUUCUAAGCAAAGAAGCUGCUGAAAUGGAGAGAACCAAGCAACGCCUUCAAAAGCAAAGAUUCUUUCAGAACAUGGAGGAGACAAGCCGGGCCCCUUUGUUCCAGGAUUGUACUUCUUAAAGAGCCAACUCCGAACCCAACAGGCUGAACCGACACACAGUCGGCCUUCCAUGAGUCUCCAAAUGCCCAAAGAUGGUUCCCGGGAAUCUUCCACUGCUCAUUGAUGUGUUGACAGGCUCUUGAGCAGAAAGCUCAGGCUGUUAGUAGGAAUAUAUGGCUCAGAUAGUCAAAAAUCGAUUCACUCACAUUUCUCACACCAGACUCCAUUUCUCUCUUCCAAACAAUAGAAGUACAGAUUUUCUUUUUAAAACCUUUCUCCAAAGAAGUGUUUACAUUCCUGCUUCCCCCACAAGGGGGUGGGGGAUAAGAAAACCCUUGACACUCAGCUGAGGCCCCGGAACUGGAACCUUUCUCAAGUUUCCGGGUGCUGAAGGCCACGUGACUGAAGCCUGGCCAAUGGGAUACAAGAAGUUCCCGCGCGCUUUGCCCUGCGUGUGGGGCACGCGCCCAUUCUUCCGGCCCUUCCUCCAGCCCCUGGCCCAGACCAGGGCCUCGCCGUCAAAGGCCAAAUCCUAGGGAUGACAGAGACAGGACAGGAAGAACCUCGCGCAACGCAGUCACAAUACCGGCUCUGGAGCGCCUGUCUCUGGACUCUUGUGUAAUGUCCUGUAUCAUUUUAAUGACUGGGGAGUGUGACUUUGUUCUCAGCAUGAUCCUUCCAAUCUUGAGAGCCAAUGUUUCCCUUAUUUUAACCAGCACCACAGGAAACCUGAAAAAUAGAGCCUGCAAGAGGCAUCUUGAGGCCUCCAAGAAACUGGAAAUAUUGUACUAACCAGGCCUCAAGAGAACUGAGCAGAUUGGAUGUGCUGAACCUGCACUUUUGAGCAACACGUCAGCCACAUGAGUGCGCCAUCUUCAAGGCAGAUCCUGUAGCCCCCAAGUCAAGCCUUCAGAUGAGAUGCAGCCUGAACAGCCUCCUGAGAGACUUUGAGCCAGAGCCCGGCUAAACUGCUCCCGAAUUCCUGAAACUAUGUGGAGUAAGAAACAUCUGUGGUUUUAUACUGCUAAGUUUUAAGAUGCAAAAUGCAAGACACUGGAUAUGGGCUGGGCCUGCUUCACUUUAAUUGCUGAGUGUGCUGCCACCUGGUGUUCUAUAAGGGCCUCUAUCUUUUAGGCAAAUGAGUUUGGUAUUUCCUGUUGCCUGUUGGACAUCACACUGGAAAGUGUCUCCUCACUGCAACCUCUUCAUGUCGGAUUGUAGACAUCUCAACUUUUCAUCCCUGACUUUCUUAUUCCUAUUGCUGUUCCCAGCACUGGGUACAUCUGACAUAGACAGUGCCUGACAAAUCAAUAACUAUUAGUUGGAUGAAUGAAUGAAUCAUGUUUGUUGCCCAGAUAAGAAAGCUUGAUGCCAUGUUUAAUUUUCUCUUCUUUCUUCUGCCAGUGUCUUACUUUCCUUGAAUGCCUGUGGCUCUUGCUUUCUGUACCAGAGAUGUAUAAAUAGGGUGCUCAAGUGGAUAAGGCUUUAGAGGCAGUAGAUAUAGGUCUAGAUUCCAGCUUUGUCACUUACCAACCAGAUGAAUUAGGAACAUUAAUUGUUUUAAGGUGUGAAAGGAGAUGGGAGAAUGUAACACUGCUUACCCAUCUCUACCCUCUCAUACGCACAUACUCUGAACAUAACCAAAAUAUUGUGAUAUGUUAACCUUUGUGCAUUAUGAGGAAUGGACGCCCAUGGUAUUUUAUCUCAACAUUAAAGGAAACAGACCCACAGAAAGCUGAAGGACUUAGAAGCAUCUGAGUUACAUUUGAAAAGCACUUGAUAUGAUGCUUAGGACAAAGGAAACAUUCAAACAUGGUAUGAAUAACUAGGUCACUAACCAGCUAUUGUCAUUGCCAUUUACUCAGAAGUGGAUCGUGUAUGUAGCUGUUCUAUGAUAAUCUCUUGAAGUGUUGAAAUGAAUUUCUGGUUCUCUCUAGUGCAUGCUGGUAUUUUAUCUUCAUAUAAAGAUAAUACAGGGUAUUAUUCUCUCUAAUACAGGGUAAACUGUGAGCUUAGGGGCCACAGCUAGUUCUUCUGCAUAUGCGUCAAAGCUCCUAGUCUCUAAUCUUGUAUCCAGCAAACUCUUAAAAUGGUUUUUGACUGGGCUGUCCUGAUACGUGGCACUAACUCUUCAUUUAUGCAUUUUGUUGAUAAACAAGGAUAACCUGGAUAAUUCAACCUUUGGACAUUCUCCAGCUCUCAGCCCCUUCUCCUCACUAUAUCUUUAAAGGGCUGUUUCCCUCUUUAAAGAGGAGAUGAUUUUAGAUUAAAUUGCUUGUCAUUCUUUAAAAUGCAGACUGUGCUUGGGAUUUUUAAUUUUUUGCUGGGACCAAAGUGAAAACCUUAUUCCAACAGGGUUCUGGCUUGCAGCUUAUCCAAGGAAGUUCAUGAGCAAAAGGACAUCAUUCUACAAGUGGCUUCAGACAGCCAUCCUAUCACCUGUGCUCUAGGGUGUCCUGCAAAUGUGAGGCCCACAGGAUUUAUUUCUGUGGGUGUGGCUAAAUGGCCUCCAUACAACCAGUUCUUUUUUUCAAUCUGUGCACA